GCCCUUGCUGCGCAGCCACUUUUGUCUAAAACUUAACUAUAGCCCCCAAAGUGAGACUUUGGAAUCUCACCUGAGAGCAGGAGGCUUUGCUCAGGACUUUCCCAGUCGGACCCCGAAUGCUGUCUCUGGAAUUCGCCGGCAUCUAUGUUUGGGUGUCAGUGAACUCCCAUCUGGUGAUGGACAUGCUUUAUCGAUUUUAGAGAGCAGAAGGGAGGGAGGGAGAGGGAGAGAAACAUCGAUUGGUUGCCUCCUGACCACACCCAACCAGAAACUGAACCCACAAUCUAGGGAUCAAACCUGCAACCUAGGUAUGUGGCCUGACCAGAAAUUGAACCUGCAACCUUUUGAUGUAUGGGACGAUGCUCCAAUCAACUGAGCUACCAGAUAAUGUUUGAAACUGCCCACCCAAGAUCAAGCAGAACAAGAAUUAAUUCCAUGAGAUGAAAUGAACUGAUGAAGGAUUAUGAUGUUUUAUGGUCUUCUUCUUUGAAACUUUGUUGGUUCUUUAAUAUUCUGUUUUCUGGCUAUAAGGAACUCCUUUCCCUUUUCUUCUAAGCUAUCUAUAUCUUAGAGCAAUUCAACAGAUUAUACACUGGUAAACAAAACAAAACAAAAAAACCAUUUAUCUUUUUUCCCUGCCUGACACCUCCAAAACUUGGAAAUUCUUAACAGUUAUUUUUAUGGCAAUACAAUUAUUUUACUAAGUUCAGUAAGAAUCUAUUCUCCUUAUAAAAGAACAUAAUUGGAAACACUACAUUACCAAGGCUUUGACUGUAGUGUCAUAUGUAUGUUAAAAUCAGAUAUGACUACACAACUUUAAAUAAUGAAAGUUGAUUUUAUAAAGCCAAUGCUUACAAAGCCCUCUGGGAAAAACCAUCCUGGUACCUGGAUUACACAGUUCCUGGCCUUACUACCAGAUGAAUAAGAAAGGUCACCUACUACCAGGGAAUCUUGGGAUUACAGUAUAUAUUCUGAACCACAUUAUUCCAUCUGAAACUCUCCCUGGAAGUUUCACAGUCCAGGAACUGAGUUGAUAGAUUGUUCUAUAACCCACGGAACUAGUCUCUGAGUCCUGGGAAUAGGUCAGUCCAAUUGGGAACUGGGAAUAGGUUAGUCCAAUAGGAAUCUUAGAAGAUAUCUUGGAGACCUCAAAAAGAGAAGUCAGUCAAAUCUAUAGGUACUGCAGGCAAAGUCUGAUACUGUGUUUCUAAUUUGGCUUCCUACCUUUAAGGGGUUUUUAAAAAGUCUAAUCUAACAUUGCUUAUGAAAAAUUCCAAUAAAGCAAACUUUAAAAGACCCAUGUGUUCAAUUACCAUUCUUGGUACAUUUAUAUAAUCAAGUCAAAUCUAAUAAAACCAGAAUAAUUUUUGUAAAGAAUAACCUAGUCUGGUAGUCUGGUUCUCUCUGAUCAACAAGGGGGGGUGAAUGUAGAGAGAAAUUUUUAUGUUUCAGUGGAAAACUAUAGUAUACUGCUGUGGGUUCUCAAUUCUAGUUUCCUCAAAUAUUUAGCGACAACUCUCCAAACUAACAUUUGCAAUUUUCCCCAACCCUGCUGACUUAGUAUCACUAGUAAUUAAAACUGCCCUUUUCCUAAAGCUAAAAGUAGAAAAUUUGACAUAAACUUCAAAUAAAUCACCACAACAAAUCAUCUGUGGACCACUUUGUGCCUGCUGCUGCGAGGGCCACUCAGAAAGCUGACUGUAAUAGCCAAUGCCAUCACCAGAGUCAUUCAAACUAGAACCAGAAAAUUCGUUAGAUUGCCACUGCCUAUCCUCACUCCACCAUCCAAAGAUGCUUUGAGCCCAACAUCUAGAAAUCUUAACUGAAUGCCCCUCUAGACUCAAAAAAUUUGUUUUUUACAGAAAAGCCCUUCAUUAAAUGCCUUAUUGCUCCCACCAUAUAGAGACUUAACACAGGUAUGUGCCCUACUCUCACCUAUACCACUGCCUCCUAAAACACAGCUGUUUAAUUGCACUGACCUAUUCCAGGACUCAGAGACUAGUUGAAU